GACGAACGCUGGCGGCGUGCUUAACACAUGCAAGUCGAACGAAGAGCGAUGGAAGCUUGCUUCUAUCAAUCUUAGUGGCGAACGGGUGAGUAACGCGUAAUCAACCUGCCCUUCAGAGGGGGACAACAGUUGGAAACGACUGCUAAUACCGCAUACGAUCUAACCUCGGCAUCGAGGAAAGAUGAAAGGUGGCCUCUAUGUAUAAGCUAUCACUGAAGGAGGGGAUUGCGUCUGAUUAGCUAGUUGGAGGGGUAACGGCCCACCAAGGCGAGGAUCAGUAGCCGGUCUGAGAGGAUGAGCGGCCACAUUGGGACUGAGACACGGCCCAGACUCCUACGGGAGGCAGCAGUGGGGAAUCUUCCGCAAUGGGCGAAAGUCUGACGGAGCAACGCCGCGUGAGUGAUGACGGCCUUCGGGUUGUAAAGCUCUGUUAAUCGGGACGAAAGGCCUUCUUGCGAAUAGUGAGAAGGAUUGACGGUACCGGAAUAGAAAGCCACGGCUAACUACGUG
rnacentral:rRNA from 1 species